CAGUCGCCGCGGUAAUACGAGGGGGGCAAGCGUUGUUCGGAAUUAUUGGGCGUAAAGGGCGCGUAGGCGGUUCAGCAAGUCUCGUGUGAAAUCUUCGGGCUCAACCCGAAGUCUGCACGGGAAACUACUGGGCUUGAGUAAUGGAGAGGUGAGUGGAAUUUCCGGUGUAGCGGUGAAAUGCGUAGAUAUCGGAAGGAACACCUGUGGCGAAAGCGGCUCACUGGACAUUUACUGACGCUGAUGCACGAAAGCUAGGGGAGCAAACAGGAUUAGAUACCCCUGUAGUCCAUGUCUCUUAUAC
rnacentral:rRNA from 1 species